rnacentral:misc_RNA from 1 species
GAAAUGCGAUACUUGGUGUGAAUUGCAGAAUCCCGUGAACCAUCGAGUCUUUGAACGCAAGUUGCGCCCGAAGCCGCCAGGCCGAGGGCACGCCUGCCUGGGCGUCACACGCCGUUGCCCCCCCCAGCGCCUUCCUCGGGAGCGUCGGGGGAGCGGACGAUGGCCUCCCGUGCGACACCCCGCGCGGUUGGCACAAAUGCCGGGUCCUCGGCGACGAACGCCACGACAAUCGGUGGUCGUCAAACCUCGGUUGCCCGUUGUGCGCCUUCGUCGCGCCACGAGCGGCUCGCGAUAGCGAACGGCUCCGUUCCGGCAGAGCUUUCAACGCGACCCCAGGUCAGGCGGGGUCACCCGCUGAAUUUAA